GUAUGCAUGCGUGAAUGCAAAUGUCAAAUUAUUGUUGCAAAUACCAAACUCAUUGAAUUAUCGUACACUCGUCUUUAAAAUAUACUUUUUAACCUGUAUCAAAAAGCCUGUAUUGAAACUUCCACAUUCGCUUGAAACGGCAGGCAAUAAAAGUCACUGUGGCUCAGAGAUUAGCAUUUCCGCCUAUGACCUUGAAUGCCUGGGUCUAAUCACUAAUGCUGACCGCUUUUACUCGGCAAUAAAAAAUCAUGAAUUGAACCCCGGCAAAGGAUAACUAUGAGCAUCAUGCAGGCCGCAACUUUGAGCUCCAAUCUAUUUGGCUUACCUGUGUCCACAGGUUGCGGAUAGUGGAAUGCGCCAUACGAAAAAGCUGCGACGGCAGUCAAAGACAAUCAGCAGUAUCGAGCUGAGAGUCUCAGUGAGAAGCAGGGCGGCACCGGCUCUUGCACAAAUACUGAGUGUCUAUGAUGCUUAAAUAACUAGUGACCACCUUGUUCCCGUGGCAGUCGGUUCUUUGGACCGGAAGACCUUGCUCACAUACAGGAGCUUGACGAAGAUCGCCACCUCCACAUGAAAAUGUAGCAACAACUACAUCAUAUAUAUUAUCAAAUGGCCAGGAUUUUAUAAAGACAAGUUUGUGGUACACAUUAUGGCCAAACGGCUGAAUGGAUUUUAAUGAAAUUUGCAUCAAUCGAAAGAUAUUAUUCCAAA